rnacentral:lncRNA from 1 species
AGGGCAUGCUGUGGGAGGGACUGAGUGACAGAUUUGUCAUUCCUUAAGCAUUAGGAGGAAGGGUUUUCAACCAGAAUGCUGAGUUCUUUAGGAGGUGAGCGCAGAGCUACAGGCCUCCACACACCAGCUACCUGCCAGAGCAAGGAAUCUUCUCCAUCCCUUAAUCCUCAUGCAUUAGCUGUCUGGAGAACCUGAGUAACGAACAUGCUGGUACCAGGCCCAAACCUGAUGCUAUCCAAGCAGACUCGACAGAGCAGUGUGUUUCUGUGAAAGCAAUCAUUCCAAUUAAUUGAAUAAAAACAUCCUUCAGGGUGUCUAUCAGAGAAACACCUCUUGGCUCUCGGAGAGCAAAUUGGUCACUAUCCUGAUAAUACAAUGAAAGGUGCCAGUUGUUUUUUGGUUUUUUCCUCUAGAAAUGUAUCUGAUACGGAGGGUGGAAUGAGACUUCAUGGAAGCAAAGAAUAAAGUGGAAAGUGCUAUUUAAGAAAGAGUUCCUGCCCACUUUAAAGAGCCU